rnacentral:rRNA from 1 species
UACGUAGGGACCGAGCGUUGUCCGGAAUCAUUGGGCGUAAAGAGCGUGUAGGCGGCCACUUAAGUCCUGCGUGAAAUCUUGCGGCUCAACCGCAAGCGGUCGUGGGAAACUGGGUGGCUAGAGUGCGGGAGAGGAGAGUGGAAUUCCUGGUGUAGCGGUGGAAUGCGCAGAUAUCAGGAGGAACACCGGUGGCGAAGGCGGGUCUCUGGGCCGAUACUGACGCUCAUGCACGAAAGCGUGGGGAGCAAACAGG